rnacentral:rRNA from 1 species
GAUGAACGCUGGCGGCGUGCCUAAUACAUGCAAGUCGAGCGAACAGAUGAGGAGCUUGCUCCUCUGACGUUAGCGGCGGACGGGUGAGUAACACGUGGAUAACCUACCUAUAAGACUGGGAUAACUUCGGGAAACCGGAGCUAAUACCGGAUAAUAUAUUGAACCGCAUGGUUCAAUAGUGAAAGACGGUUUUGCUGUCACUUAUAGAUGGACCGGCGCCGAAUUAGCUAGUUGGUAGGUAACGGCUUACCAAGGCAACGAUGCGUAGCCGACCUGAGAGGGUGAUCGGCCACACUGGAACUGAGACACGGUCCAGACUCCUACGGGAGGCAGCAGUAGGGAAUCUUCCGCAAUGGGCGAAAGCCUGACGGAGCAACGCCGCGUGAGUGAUGAAGGUCUUCGGAUCGUAAAACUCUGUUAUUAGGGAAGAACAAAUGUGUAAGUAACUAUGCACGUCUUGACGGUACCUAAUCAGAAAGCCACGGCUAACUACGUG